GUAGUGCUUGGUCUUGAUUCAAAAUCAUUGUACUUGGUAACACUUGGUAUAGGUUCAAUAUCAUCCUUUUUGCUAGCUUUUAACUUGAAUUCAAAAUCACCAUAUUUAGUAGCACUUGGUCGUGGUUCAAAAUCAUCAUAUUUGGUAGUACUUGGUCUAGGUUUAAAAUCAUCUUUCUUGUUAGCACUUAACUUAAGUCCAAAAUCAUCAUACUUAGUAGCACUUGAUCGAGGUUCGAAAUCAUUAUACUUAGUAACACUUGGUCGAGAUUCAAGAGACUCUUCACAUUCAUGCUUGAAAUCUUUAACAAAUUGACCUUGAGUAUUGGGAUUAUUUUCAGAUUGAAUUGGAAGAAGGCCUUGAAGUCCUUCUGGCAUUUGCUGGUCUUUCAUU
rnacentral:lncRNA from 1 species